rnacentral:lncRNA from 1 species
AUUAAUAAAAAAGAGUUUUUUUUUUAAUAAAUCUAAAAAUAGUUUUGAGAAAAAAGUUUUGAUGUGAUAUUUUGAAUCGAAACAGUGCACUUCGAUAAUCCGUGAACUGGUGGAUCCCAUUUAUAACACGUGGCGAAUACAUAACGGAUCUACUUUGUAAAGUUGUCGGUGCUGUGAGAUUUUGAUUUCCACUGUCUGCGGCCAAAGUCAAACUGAAAUUGAAAAAAAUAUAUAUUUCUUUAAAUUGGUUAAUUAAUAAAUCUAAAAUUAUUCUUGUGCCUUUUACAAAGCUACGACUUGCUUAAAAAUUGAUACUUGAAGCUUUGUAUAUGUUGAUCUGGUAAAAAUGUGUCUCAGAAGUUUCAUGGCUGUACGAGCGUCUUUUUUUUUAAAAAAAAAACAAUGAAUUUUAUAAAUAUCCAACAUAAAAUAAUGAUUAAAUACAUAGAAUUAUCAAAGUUAAUUCUUGGCCACUCUCAUUUCCUUUCUUAAUUAAAAAAAAAAAAUAGGUGCAAGUGGGCAUUUAUCCUAUUUGUGAGGAUACAAACUAGGAUAUGCUAUAAGAGAAUUGAUUUAAGUGGUGUUGAUAGAUAUCUAAUGUAAAUAUCAAUAACAUCUAUAAAACGUAUCAAUAAUUCAAAAAAUAAAAUAAAAUAAAGUGAACUAGAAAAAUGAAAUGACUGAAAUUUGAAUUAAAAUAUUAUGUGUGUGUAUAUAUAUAUAUGGGAGAAAUCUUGGGAUCAAUAAUAUAUUUUUAUCAGUUCUAUUGCAUUUGUGAUGAAGUUAUGAUAAUUAAUCAUGAGUAGUCAACUUAAUAACCUUACAUUCUAAAUUCAACCAUAGUGUAACGAGUUCACCGUAUGUACCAUACUAUCGUCAUUUAGACCUUAACAUAUAUCAAAUUUUGUUGAACACCUUAUUACAAGAAACAACUUAAUAUUUUAUUCUUUGGUAUUCUUAUCUUAUUCUAUUAUUUAAUCCAGCAUCCCUUAUAAUUAAGGUGUGUUGCCAAUGUUGACAACCGGGGAAGAAGAGGAAAAGAAAAAUAAAAGUCGAAAAGAACAAGUGCCAAAUGAAAUUUAACGAAGGAUUUAGAUAGAAAAUAUUUAUAAAUAAAAAUCAGUACAAGGUUCUCAAUAAAAUUUAACAUUUGUUAAGGCAUAAAAGGACAAAAGUUAUGAUACGUUCUAAUGACUUUUAAAUUAACCACUGUGUUCCCAUGUCCUGCCAAUUAUCGAAGCACAUGUAGCACGCACCACAGGCUACCGAUCGUCCAGGAUUUAGGCAUCAAUUGCGAUUUGCACAAUCGCUAUUCGCUACCUUACGCAUCAAGUAUCAUGGGCGGCCAUGACCACUGACCACACAUUUAUUGUCCCAUUGCUUCUUUCCACAUUUUUUUUCUUCUAUCUUUCGUGCAAACGCUUGACUUGAUUUUUUUAAUCAAGUUAUAUUCAUUUCCAAUUUAAGUAAAACGUAGGUUUUCAUGAAACUCAAAUCUAAAAUCCCGUGUAAAUAAUUUAAAUUGACUUUAAUAAUAUGAAACUUUAUGUUGGAUUACUUUAAAGUGUAUGUAACAACGGUUGCCCACAAUUACAAGACUACGUAAAAUGCUUCGAUAUCAAACAAAAAAUUUUCACGUGGGCAUUUUAUUUAAGAAAUAUAAUAGGUGUCGUAAUUCGAUUUAGGUUAAUUAUUAGUUAAAUUAUCGAUGGUUGUAUUGCUUCUUAGUAUAAUUCUAUGUUUUCCAUAUCACCGGCAAAUAAAUGAAAAUGCUCGUGGUUCCAUCGGAAUUGAGUUUAAUUUAAUUUUUUUUUAUAAAGGAAAUCUAUUAAUUGUUCGGUUAUUAAUCACAAUUUCCGAAUUUCAGUAGGGAAAAAAAAUAAAAAUUGUAUUAAAAAAAAAGGUGCCAAUCAGUCCCCGCAUUUCACGGGAUGGUUCAUGAAUUGAAAGGCCUGUCACUUUUGUAAACCUGGAAGAGUGUGUAGAGAAAUUGACUUCGGGUAUAAUUUGGAAAGGAAGUGGGCUCAGUGAUGGGCCAUUUAUAGCCAUGCUAACAAUGGGCGAUCUAAAGGCCGUGUGGAAACAAUUAAAAUUAUUAGGCAACUAUUUGGAAAAUUUAAAAAAAAAGAAGUGCAAUAAUAACCAAUGGAAGGCGUGUUACAUUUGAAUGGGCAAGGUUUUUGUGACAGUGUCACUAAGUUGUUUGCCGUGGGACGAUUUUAGACUUUUAUUAUUUGAGUCUUUUUUUUUUCCCUAUUUUAAUUAGUGUCAAAAUUUUAUUUGAAGUAGUUUAUUUUUCAACUCAUAGAGUACGGAUCGAAAUCAUGUCAAUUUUCGAAUCUAAGGGUAUACAUGCAUUGAAUUGAUGGAGGACUCUAAUGGUGGUGCAUCCAUGUUUCGAUGAUUUGGUGCGAGUUAUCAAUUGCUUGGGUUGAGGGCUAAUCAAGAGACUUGCUGGGAUAAUCUAGAUGGGUUGUUACGUUGUUGAGUUUUUGUUGUGUUUUUAGUUGGUACUUAGUGUUGUGUCAUGGUAUAUUGUGUCAAUUUUAUAUUAUUUUUUCCUUCCCCAAUUGAGAAAAGGGUUUUAUCUGCAUUAGUUGAUGUAAGUAGCAGUCUGUAAAAUUCCUCCCGAUGGUAACUAAGUAGGUUUAAUUAGUGAAGUCAUUUUUUCUCUUUCGGCUUGUAAUUACAUUUAUUAUUAGAAGUUGAUGAUCAUAUAUUUAUACCCCUGUGGCAUUUUAUAGUUGGGCUAUUUUUGGUCCUUAAUGGAAGGUAAGCUUUCUUUUAAAAAAAUAUAAUUGUGAUUUAGUUUUUU